rnacentral:rRNA from 1 species
GGCGGACGGGUGAGUAAUGUCUGGGAAGCUGCCUGAUGGAGGGGGAUAACUACUGGAAACGGUAGCUAAUACCGCAUAAUGUCGCAAGACCAAAGAGGGGGACCUUCGGGCCUCUUGCCAUCGGAUGUGCCCAGAUGGGAUUAGCUUGUUGGUGGGGUAACGGCUCACCAAGGCGACGAUCCCUAGCUGGUCUGAGAGGAUGACCAGCCACACUGGAACUGAGACACGGUCCAGACUCCUACGGGAGGCAGCAGUGGGGAAUAUUGCACAAUGGGCGCAAGCCUGAUGCAGCCAUGCCGCGUGUAUGAAGAAGGCCUUCGGGUUGUAAAGUACUUUCAGCGGGGAGGAAGGGAGUAAAGUUAAUACCUUUGCUCAUUGACGUUACCCGCAGAAGAAGCACCGGCUAACUCCGUGCCAGCAGCCGCGGUAAUACGGAGGGUGCAAGCGUUAAUCGGAAUUACUGGGCGUAAAGCGCACGCAGGCGGUUUGUUAAGUCAGAUGUGAAAUCCCCGGGCUCAACCUGGGAACUGCAUCUGAUACUGGCAAGCUUGAGUCUCGUAGAGGGGGGUAGAAUUCCAGGUGUAGCGGUGAAAUGCGUAGAGAUCUGGAGGAAUACCGGUGGCGAAGGCGGCCCCCUGGACGAAGACUGACGCUCAGGUGCGAAAGCGUGGGGAGCAAACAGGAUUAGAUACCCUGGUAGUCCACGCCGUAAACGAUGUCGACUUGGAGGUUGUGCCCUUGAGGCGUGGCUUCCGGAGCUAACGCGUUAAGUCGACCGCCUGGGGAGUACGGCCGCAAGGUUAAAACUCAAAUGAAUUGACGGGGGCCCGCACAAGCGGUGGAGCAUGUGGUUUAAUUCGAUGCAACGCGAAGAACCUUACCUGGUCUUGACAUCCACGGAAGUUUUCAGAGAUGAGAAUGUGCCUUCGGGAACCGUGAGACAGGUGCUGCAUGGCUGUCGUCAGCUCGUGUUGUGAAAUGUUGGGUUAAGUCCCGCAACGAGCGCAACCCUUAUCCUUUGUUGCCAGCGGUCCGGCCGGGAACUCAAAGGAGACUGCCAGUGAUAAACUGGAGGAAGGUGGGGAUGACGUCAAGUCAUCAUGGCCCUUACGACCAGGGCUACACACGUGCUACAAUGGCGCAUACAAAGAGAAGCGACCUCGCGAGAGCAAGCGGACCUCAUAAAGUGCGUCGUAGUCCGGAUUGGAGUCUGCAACUCGACUCCAUGAAGUCGGAAUCGCUAGUAAUCGUGGAUCAGAAUGCCACGGUGAAUACGUUCCCGGGCCUUGUACACACCGCCCGUCACACCAUGGGAGUGGGUUGCAAAAGAAGUAGGUAGCUUAACCUUCGGGAGGGCGCUUACCACUUUGUGAUUCAUGACUGGGGUGAAGUCCUAACAAGGUAACCGUAGGGGAACCUGCGGUUG